rnacentral:sRNA from 1 species
UGCACCUGUGGCGGACAAAGCGCGGCGCAAUCAAAAACACUUUGCAGGUAGUGGCGUGGCGUUCAGUCUGGUAUCAUAAGCAAUUGCUUAUUUCAAAGCAUUUU